CCAUGGACUGCAGCCUACCAGGCUCCUCCGUCCAUGGAAUUUUCCAGGCAAGAGUACUGGAGUGGUGCCAUUGCUUCUAUGUGCCCUGGGCUUGUGGCCCCCUCCCUCCCAUCUCUGCCUCCGCCUUUAAGAGGCUUCCCCUCUGUGUCCUCUUUCGUCUCUUCAAAGGACUCUGUCAGUUGGAUUGAAGAUCAUCCUAACCCUACAUGAGCUUAUAUGGAUAUCCUUAACUACAUCUACAAAGAACCUUUGCCCAGAUAUGGCCUUGUUCUGGGAGGAUGCAUCUUUGUUUGGCCAUCAUUCACCCCAUUCUCUCUGUAUAAAAUAACCCUCAUUUUAGGAGAUCAUCACAGGCCCAUAUAGACGGGCAUAGACAGCAGCCACACAGGUGGAGUCUGGAGAGAAUGAGUUACUUGCAGUCCCCUGGAACGUAUGAAGGCCUGGCUUCAUCAGGUCUCGUGGACAUUGGGGUCACUUUGCUGUGCCCAGAAAACCUAGGUCCAGACAAGGUGGAGGAGCUGGAGAAUCAAGCCCUGCUGCCUUGCAUGCAACAGAAGUACUGACUGCACUCACCAACCCCUACUGGCUGGUGCAGCCUGCCCCAGGGAGGGCCGGGAAGGACAUCUUCCAGAGCUACCCAAAGGAUGGAUUUUACUGAACUCAUACAGUUCCAGUUCACAGAUGAAACUCUGGAUGCUGUCUGUCUCAAAGAUCCUGCCCACACCUCUGCCCUGGAGGACCUCUGUCUGGAAGAGAUCUGCCUUGAUGACCACUGUGUCUCCCUUGUUGUUCCAGUGCACAGAGGUGAAGGCCACAUCCUCCACGAUUAUCCAGAGCUUCCUGGGGAAGGACAGCCUGAGGAGGGGGUUGUUCUCUUUCUUGUUGGCUGUUUCUGGGUUUGGGCCCUGUGGAGGGGCGGGUUGUCUUGGGAGCCCAAAUCUAGGCUCUCAGGGUGGUCACCCUGCUUUGCCAAAACCUCCUCUGAAUACACAUUUGCAUCGGGG
ensembl:lncRNA